AGUACCGUGAGGGAAAGGUGAAAAGCACCCCGGAAGGGGAGUGAAACAGUUCCUGAAACCGUGUGCCUACAAGUAGUUAGAGCCCGUUAAUGGGUGAUAGCGUGCCUUUUGUAGAAUGAACCGGCGAGUUACGAUUUGUUGCAAGGUUAAGCGGAAAAAGCGGAGCCGUAGCGAAAGCGAGUCUGAAUAGGGCGCAUAAGUAACAGGUCGUAGACCCGAAACCAGGUGAUCUACCCAUGUCCAGGAUGAAGGUAAGGUAAUACUUACUGGAGGUCCGAACCCACGCACGUUGAAAAGUGCGGGGAUGAGGUGUGGGUAGCGGAGAAAUUCCAAUCGAACUUGGAGAUAGCUGGUUCUCUCCGAAAUAGCUUUAGGGCUAGCCUCGAGGUAAAGAGUCAUGGAGGUAGAGCACUGUUUGGACUAGGGGCCCUUCUCGGGUUACCGAAUUCAGAUAAACUCCGAAUGCCAUGUACUUAUACUCGGGAGUCAGACUGCGAGUGAUAAGAUCCGUAGUCGAAAGGGAAACAGCCCAGACCACCAGUUAAGGUCCCCAAAUAUAUGUUAAGUGGAAAAGGAUGUGGGGUUGCUUAGACAACCAGGAUGUUGGCUUAGAAGCAGCCACCAUUGAAAGAGUGCGUAAUAGCUCACUGGUCGAGUGACCCCGCGCCGAAAAUGUACCGGGGCUAAACAUAUUACCG
rnacentral:rRNA from 1 species